rnacentral:rRNA from 1 species
GACGAACGCUGGCGGCGUGCUUAACACAUGCAAGUCGAACGGGAUAAUUUGAGAGCUUGCUCUUAGAGAAUCUAGUGGCAAACGGGUGAGUAACACGUAGACAACCUGCCGACAGGAUGGGGACAACAUUCCGAAAGGAAUGCUAAUACCGAAUGAAGCGGAGGAGAGGCAUCUCUCCUCCGUGAAAGAUGGCCUCUGAAUAUGCUAUCACCUGUCGAUGGGUCUGCGUCUGAUUAGCUAGUUGGUGAGGUAACGGCUCACCAAGGCGACGAUCAGUAGCCGGUCUGAGAGGAUGAACGGCCACAUUGGGACUGAGACACGGCCCAGACUCCUACGGGAGGCAGCAGUGGGGAAUCUUCCGCAAGGGGCGCAAGCCUGACGGAGCAACGCCGCGUGAGUGAAGAAGGUCUUCGGAUCGUAAAGCUCUGUUGACGGGGACGAACGUGCGAAGGGUGAAUAAGCCUUUGUAAUGACGGUACCUGUCGAGGAAGCCACGGCUAACUACGUG